AAUUUGGCACAAUGGGGGAAACGCUGAUCCAGCCAUGCCGCGUGGAUGAUGAAGGCCNNNGGGUUNUCAAGUACUUUUGGCAGNGACNAAAAGGUAUCUCCUAAUACGAGAUACUGCUGACGGUAUCUGCAGAAUAAGCACUGGCUACCUACGUCCCAGCAGCUGCGGUAAUACGUAGGGUGCAAGCUUUAAUCGGAAUUACUGGGCGUAAAGCGUGUGUAGGCGGUUCGGAAAGAAAGAUGUGAAAUCCCAGGGCUCAACCUUGGAACUGCAUUUUUAACUGCCGAGCUAGAGUAUGUCAGAGGGGGGUAGAAUUCCACGUGUAGCAGUGAAAUGCGUAGAUGUGUGGAGGAAUACCGAUGGCGAAGGCAGCCCCCUGGGAUAAUACUGACGCUCAGACACGAAAGCGUGGGGAGCAAACA
rnacentral:rRNA from 1 species